CGGGUGGUCGGGGCGGGUCAG
rnacentral:miRNA from 1 species